CGCCCUUGAGUUUGAUCAUGGCUCAGAUUGAACGCUGGCGGCAUGCUUUACCCUGCAAGUCGAACGGCAGCGCGGGGCAACCUGGCGGCGAGUGGCGAACGGGUGAGUAAUAUAUCGGAACGUACCCAAGAGUGGGGGAUAACGUAGCGAAAGUUACGCUAAUACCGCAUACGAUCUUAGGAUGAAAGCAGGGGACCGCAAGGCCUUGUGCUCCUGGAGCGGCCGAUAUCUGAUUAGCUAGUUGGUAGGGUAAAGGCCUACCAAGGCUACGACCAGUAGCUGGUCUGAGAGGACGACCAGCCACACUGGAACUGAGACAUGGUCCAGACUCCUACGGGAGGCAGCAGUGGGGAAUUUUGGACAAUGGGCGCAAGCCUGAUCCAGCAAUGCCGUUUUUUUUAAGAAGGCCUUCGGGUUGUAAAGCUCUUUUGUCAGGGAAGAAACGGUGCGGGCUAAUAUCCUGCGCUAAUGACGGUACCUGAAGAAUAAGCACCGGCUAACUACGUGCCAGCAGCCGCGGUGA
rnacentral:rRNA from 1 species